rnacentral:rRNA from 1 species
GCAAGUCGAACGGUAACAUAACUAGCUUGCUAGUUGAUGACGAGUGGCGGACGUGUGAGUAAUACUUAGGUAUCUGUCCUUUGGAGGGGGAUAACCAUUGGAAACGAUGGCUAAUACCGCAUAUUAUCUACGGGUAAAAGUGGGCGCUUGAGCUCAUGCCAAGGGAGGAGCCUAAGCGAGAUUAGCUAGUUGGUAGGGUAAAGGCCUACCAAGGCGACGAUCUCUAGCUGUUCUGAGAGGAUGAUC